rnacentral:rRNA from 1 species
AUGACAAAUUUUACCUUUUAUUGCCAUGGCAAUUUUAACAUUUUCUUUAUAUUGUGUUAUUGCAAUGGCAAAUUUAGUUUUAUUGCCAUGGCAAAUUUAGUUUAUUGCCAUGGCAAAAUUAUCUAUGCUGGCAUGGCAAAUUUAGUUUUCAUACAUGUUAACAAAUUUCUUGGUAUGUCAUGGCAAAUUAUUGUUUUUCUUUUUGUCAUGCCAAAUUUAACUUGCAUGGACCAUGAACAUUUUUUAAUUAUUAAGCUUGGCAAAGUUGUUGUAAUUUUUUUCGUAGCACAACAAAAAGUGGGCUUUUUAUUUGUCACAUCAAAAAAUGGCAAUUUUAACUUUACUGACAUUCCAAAAUUACCUACAAUGCCCUAG